GACGAACGCUGGCGGCGUGCUUAACACAUGCAAGUCGAACGGUGAAGCGCCUUCCUUUUUGGUGGGUGUGGAUGAGUGGCGAACGGGUGAGUAACACGUGAGUAACCUGCCCCCUUCUUCUGGAUAACCGCAUGAAAGUGUGGCUAAUACGGGAUAUUCUGGGUCUGUCGCAUGAUGGGUCUGGGAAAGAUAUUGUUUCGGUGGGGGAUGGGCUCGCGGCCUAUCAGCUUGUUGGUGGGGUGAUGGCCUACUAAGGCGGUGACGGGUAGCCGGCCUGAGAGGGUGGACGGUCACACUGGGACUGAGACACGGCCCAGACUCCUAAGGGAGGCAGCAGUGGGGAAUAUUGCACAAUGGGCGCAAGCCUGAUGCAGCGACGCCGCGUGAGGGAUGGAGGCCUUCGGGUUGUGAACCUCUUUCGCCAGUGAAGCAGGACUGCCUCGUUUGUGGGUGGGUUGACGGUAGCUGGAUAAGAAGCGCCGGCUAACUACGUG
rnacentral:rRNA from 1 species